rnacentral:lncRNA from 1 species
CAUACGGUUAGUGGAAGACGUCACCAGAUGGUCUGAUUGCUUUUUCUGUAGCCCAUCACAACAGACAUUCAUAUUGUGCAAGUCUAGAUGUGCAGGACACACCAGAAGACUCCUGAGAGUUUCAAGCUGCAAAUCUGUCAGACAAAAGGAGGGGAAGGAUUUCUACCACAUGACUUAUGAAACUUCUGAGUUAUGCACCCAGUAUGGCCCACAGAUAUUUAGAAUCAUAGAAUCAUCAAGGUUGGAAAAGACCUAAAAGAUCAUCCAGUCCAAGAAAAUGCCUUCCGAUUUCCUUUAUGGUAGCUGAGGAUCUGCUCUGUAGGUUUAUACUCCUUACUAAAACAAAG